AACUUUUGGCAAUGGAUCACUUGGCUCUCGCAUCGUUGAAGAACGCAGCGAAAUGCGAUACGUAAUGUGAAUUGCAGAAUUCAGUGAAGCAUCGAAUCUUUGAACGCACCUUGCGCCCCUUGGCAUUCCGAGGGGCACACCCGUUUGAGUGUCGUGAACUUCUCAAACCUUCUUGGUUUCUUGAUCAAGAUGGCUUUGGACUUUGGAGGCAUUUUGCUGGCUUUGCGAAAAGCCAGCUCCUCUUAAAUACAUUAGUGGGAUCCCCUUUGCCGAUCCCCAGGCGUGAUAAGAUAUUUCUACGUCUUGGGAUUUGCUCUGUUCCUUGGGAACCCGCUUCCAACCGUCUCAUGGGAGACAUCGUUCGAGUUUGCUCGACCCACGAACCUUGACCUCAAAUCGGGUGAGACUACCCGCUGAACUUAAGCAUAUCAAUAAGCGGAGGCU
rnacentral:misc_RNA from 1 species